GCGCGCGGGUUUCUCUUCAGAUCGCACAAAUCUUUCGCCUUUUACUAAAGAUGUCCGUGGAGAGGAACGGCUCUGAGUCUGUACCCGGUUUUUUGAGACCUUGUUUCGGCAAGGCC